AUAUGUGUGCUGUGUCAGUGCUGCACACACUUUAAGAGCUGUAGUGCUGAUCAGAGUGUGUUCAGUCCUUUCAGAGCCACUGACACGCAGCACAAUGAUGAUGGUACUGAUUCUACUGCUGGGGACACUGGGACUCCUCGCUCACCAGUCCUUUGGGGAAAUCGUCCUGACUCAGUCUCCAGGAUCUCAGUCUGUUUCUCCAGGACAAUCUGUUACUCUCACCUGUAGAGCCAGUCAGACUGUUAGCAAUGACCUCCAGUGGUACCUGCAGAAACCUGGAGAAGCUCCUAAACUCCUGAUCUAUAAUGAUGUUACACGUUUCACUGGGGUCCCUGAUCGUUUCAGUGGCAGUGGAUCUGACAGAGAAUUUAGUCUAAAAAUCUCUGGAGUUCAGGCUGAAGAUGCAGGAGAUUAUUACUGUCAGCAGGAUGAGACACGGCCGUACACACAGUGUUAUAGCGUGGUACAAAAACCUCCCUCAGCUGUAGAGGAAGUGCUCUGACUCAGAAACACACACUGAUCCGAGAACAGCUGCAGAGCUGCUAAAGCUGCACUCCACUGAACAUCAACUACAAACCACUACAGCACUGAGAAUUUUUCUCUUUUCACUGGAUUUACCAGACAAUUGUGUUCACAUUAGGAAUGUCCUAUUUCACACCAUGUACCAAAGAUGUACAAGUUAGCACCUAAGGGUUCCAACAAGAAGGUUGUAAUGUAUUCCCCUUCUCUCAGCGCAUAUUGUGAGACUACGGUGGUGGAUCUCUGACCCACUAGGAGGGCCUGGGGGCAUUCUCCCCAUAAGAAAAUUUAGUAAGAAAAUUGUGUACAUUAUAAAGUUAAAUGCAUCAAUGUGGUCCACUUUGAGAGCAAAAUUAAGAGGCUAGAUCUAUGGAGAACUUUGCGUUCUUGUAAAGAAUUGUGUGCUCUACUAGUAGUUUGAUCAUGACAUUGGUUGUAUAGAUAUGAACGGUGAUGACACGGUAAACAAUUCACACCCAUAAAGCCUGGUAAACGAGAGAGAGUUUAACGUAGUUCACAAACUUGACUAGAGCAAACAAUUGAGGCAUCAAAGAAAUGGAGCAUAAGUGGUUACCUGUGUUGAACUGGUUUAUUUUUUAGAAAAUAUAAAUAUAUACUGGAUGAGGAGGACAUGGUAUUGAUCAACUCUCCCUACGUCCCUAUUGGAAAACUUUAAUUUCCUGGGCUUUAAGUAAAAGAGUUCCAAUGUCCUUUUGUGACUGACUUGGAGUGAGAGAUGCUUUGCCAUUAUUAUGAGAAGUGUAAAAAUAUUUUAGUUCAUUAUGAAACUGUGGCUGGACAAAUUAGUCUGUGACGGGCCGCCGUAGUCUAGGUAAUUAAUGGGAAACACUGAAUUUGCAUUUUUAGGGGGCCCUUGGCUUCCGGGGGAGGUGGUUGCCUACCUUAGACUAGUGCUAAGUCUGCCUCUGGGUUUCAGUAUGGUUCUCAGAUUCACUAAACUAAGCAUUCUCAUGACACAGUUUCAUAACUCGUUAAGUUGAACCAGAUGUUCCUCAUCAGGUCCUGUGGGCAUUCACCUUAAAAAAGGGCAGAUCUCACACUGGUUCAAAUGCUUGUUGAAGCUGGAGUUGGACUGGAUUUAGAAUGUGUAUUUUAUGGCACAAGAGCAGAUUAUAAUAAUACUUUUGUUUGAAAAAAAUCUAAUAUAUAAUAACAGCAAAAAGCAAUACUUUCACUGUCACCAAGGCCAGUGACAACAAAUAGUCAACUGUGUAAAUGAGUAAGUUGUAGAUGUUUUUAUUUCAAUUCACAUGACACUUGAGGUAAAAGCAAUUGCAAUUGAAAUAAUUAGCAGUGCAUUUUUUAAAAAUUUCUAAUUACAAAUGUAGUCCAAACUGUGUUAAGGAAUCUUGGCAGUAGAUAAGAAAAAAAUUAUAUAUUAGAUAAGGAAAUAAGGAAGAUAAAAAUUAUAUUAUACAAAUUGGUAACAAACUUAAUUAGUGCCCUGAAUUUUAUUUUAUUCAUGAGCAUCCAGUUUCACACACUUGCAUGGAAUUUGUUAGGCAUAUGGGUCGUAUGGGUCCUAAUGUAAUAUUAGUUUAAUGUAACCGUUCCAGCAAACGUUUAGUUGUGUUUCACUGUUGAGUCGGUGAGAUCACAGAGACUGUUUGAAUGAAUUUGUUUCAUAAGUUUUAUUUUUUUAUUUACUCCAUGCAGAUCAUUAUUUCUUUGUGUGAAACAGAAACACAAGUAUUUUUGUUUUUAAUCGGUAAUCUGAGUUUAGUAUGUGAGUGAUGUCAUGGCCAGUUGGAACGGCCUGUGACUGGAGAGAGCCAGGUAUGUUUUUACAGCUCUCUGUAACAAAGGGUAAAAAUGUGUUAUAUUAAGUGAGAAUUAGAGUUAGUACCAAUUACAGAAGUGUUAUAAAGCUGGAAUGAGUUUAGAGUGUGCGUUUAGAGCACGCCUUUUCCCAAGUAAUACGAAAACAUCAUUCAGUGCAUAGAAUGUGUGUAGUUCUCAGUUAAACCUCAAUAAAGAUGUGUUUACAGUCAUAUGUGUGCCCUAGACAGUCAAUGAACUUGAAGGUACUGUGUUAAUGGGGCAGGGUUAAUAUGUUUUCUCUCAUAUACCCUUCAGCUGAAAGAACACUGAUCUGAGCUGGUGUGUGUGUUUCCACUGUCCUGUGUUUAAUAAACUGCAGGUAUGCAACAUUAAAAAAACACUAUUUCACAUAAU